GCCGGGCAUAGUGGUGCGCGCCUGUAAUCCCAGCUACUCAGGAGGCUGAGGCAGGAGAAUCGCUUGAACCCGGGAGGCAGGGGUUGCAGUGAGCUGAGAUUGAGCCACUGCACUCCAGCCUGGGCAACAGAGUGAGAGUUUGUCUCAA
rfam:Gorilla gorilla gorilla genomic chromosome, chr11, whole genome shotgun sequence